UACGGGGGGGGCAAGCGUUGUUCGGAAUUACUGGGCGUAAAGGGCUCGUAGGUGGCCAACUAAGUCGGACGUGAAAUCCCUCGGCUUAACCGGGGAACUGCGUCUGAUACUGGAUGGCUUGAGUUCGGGAGAGGUGAGUGGAACUGCGAGUGUAGAGGUGAAAUUCGUAGAUAUUCGCAAGAACACCAGUGGCGAAGGCGGCUCACUGGCCCGAUACUGACGCUGAGGCACGAAAGCGUGGGGAGCAAACAGGG
rnacentral:rRNA from 1 species